CUGUCCUUCUGAGACACUCCUUCCUCUAACACUCUUGUAACUUUGUACAACAUUGAUACUUCUGCAGGGGUGAUCCUUCUCUGUGAUAUAGUCCUCUGCAGCCUGCAGUUUGAAAGUAAAGCUACUUCCUGAAAACCUUUCCAGCAGCAAAGCGAUAAGUCAUUGAACUUACAAGUUGGUCCCCUAGACAAGCAGAUUCUCUGAAGGCCUCAGCAAAUACAACUACAUCAGGAUACUAGAAACCUUCUCUGCAAGUGGCAUCUGUUUCACAGGGUGAAGAAGGAGAUGUCUUCUUCAUGACUGGAUAGACUCCAUAGAACUGAUCUUCAAAAUCCUUCAAAAUCCUACUCAUUCCUUCCUUCUGCCCAUAUUUGAAUCACCGAAACAUAUGGAUCUGAAGUCUCAAGUCAGGGAGCUAUAGUGUAUAACAGGACAGAAAGUCACCUAUAUUACACCUUUGGCAACAGAAGCUGGUAAAGCACUGCAUUUGCCACACAAAUGUAUUUCACAGUGUUUUCCCGUUUUGUAAUCGAACUGCCGAGAAAAUAACAGCAAAAGCAGUAAGAAAUCACAAGAAACAGUGUCUUCAGACAAGAUGUGAAAGGAGAUGGUAUACUGAUGAAGAGAAAAUACGGAAAGGUGGUCUUACAUCCCAGAAGCUGCAGCAGUAACAGUAAGUCACUGGGGCAGAGAUUAAAUGAGAAAGAAGAUGCAGUGAUAAUGGAGAAAGUGACAGAAUGUUCAGUGUUAGGAAUGGGGGUUGUCAUGUACUAAACUAGUACCUUUCCGAUUUGAGAGUAAAAGUUGCUUAAAAAGCACUGCCAAAGGAAGCUGAAGUUAUACAAGCACGUUGUGGAGAAGCAAGAACCAGUGAGUUAGUGUAUA